CAGUAGCCGCGGUAAUACGAAGGGGGCUAGCGUUGUUCGGAAUUACUGGGCGUAAAGCGCGCGUAGGCGGUUACUCAAGUCAGAGGUGAAAGCCCGGGGCUCAACCCCGGAACUGCCUUUGAAACUAGGUGACUAGAAUCUUGGAGAGGUCAGUGGAAUUCCGAGUGUAGAGGUAAAAUUCGUAGAUAUUCGGAAGAACACCAGUGGCGAAGGCGACUGACUGGACAAGUAUUGACGCUGAGGUGCGAAAGCGUGGGGAGCAAACAGGAUUAGAUACCCCUGUAGUCCCUGUCUCUUAUAC
rnacentral:rRNA from 1 species